UACAGAGGGGGCAAGCGUUGUUCGGAAUUACUGGGCGUAAAGUGUGCGCAGGCGGCUUCGCAAGUCGAGUGUGAAAUCCCCGAGCUUAACUUGGGAAUUGCGCUCGAAACUACGGAGCUGGAGUGUGGCAGAGGAAGGUGGAAUUCCACGUGUAGCGGUGAAAUGCGUAGAGAUGUGGAGGAACACCAGUGGCGAAGGCGGCGAUCUGGGAAGAUACUGACGCUGAGGUGCGAAAGCGUGGGGAGCAAACAGG
rnacentral:rRNA from 1 species